GACGAACGCUGGCGGCGCGCCUAACACAUGCAAGUCGAACGGAGUUUGAGAGAGCUUGCUUUUUCAAACUUAGUGGCGAACGGGUGAGUAACGCGUGAGUAACCUGCCCUGGAGUGGGGGACAACAGUUGGAAACGACUGCUAAUACCGCAUGACGCUUCUUGGGGGCAUCCCUGAGAAGUCAAAGCUUUAUGUGCUGAAAGAUGGCCUCGCGUCUGAUUAGCUAGUUGGUGGGGUAACGGCCCACCAAGGCGACGAUCAGUAGCCGGUCUGAGAGGAUGAACGGCCACAUUGGGACUGAGAUACGGCCCAG
rnacentral:rRNA from 1 species